UACAGAGGGUGCGAGCGUUAAUCGGAAUUACUGGGCGUAAAGCGUGCGUAGACGGUAGCGUAAGUCAGAUGUGAAAGCCCCGGGCUCAACCUGGGAACUGCAUUUGAGACUGCUCUGCUCGGGUGCGGAAGAGGGAAGCGGAAUUUCCGGUGUAGCGGUGAAAUGCGUAGAUAUCGGAAGGAACACCAGUGGCGAAAGCGGCUUCCGUGGUCCGACACCGACGUUCAGGCACGAAAGCGUGGGGAGCAAACAGG
rnacentral:rRNA from 1 species